rnacentral:rRNA from 1 species
AGAGUUUGAUCAUGGCUCAGAGCGAACGCUGGCGGCAGGCCUAAUACAUGCAAGUCGAGCGCACCUUCGGGUGAGCGGCGGACGGGUGAGUAACGCGUGGGAAUGUGCCCUUUGGUACGGAACAACUGAGGGAAACUUCAGCUAAUACCGUAUGUGCCCUUCGGGGGAAAGAUUUAUCGCCAUUGGAGCAGCCCGCGUUGGAUUAGGCAGUUGGUGAGGUAAAGGCUCACCAAGCCUACGAUCCAUAGCUGGUCUGAGAGGAUGAUCAGCCACACUGGGACUGAGACACGGCCCAGACUCCUACGGGAGGCAGCAGUAGGGAAUCUUGCGCAAUGGGCGAAAGCCUGACGCAGCCAUGCCGCGUGAAUGAUGAAGGUCUUAGGAUUGUAAAAUUCUUUCACCGGGGAAGAUAAUGACGGUACCCGGAGAAGAAGCCCCGGCUAACUUCGUGCCUGCAGCCGCGGUAAUACGAAGGGGGCUAGCGUUGCUCGGAAUUACUGGGCGUAAAGGGCGCGUAGGCGGAUAUUUAAGUCGGGGGUGAAAGCCCAGGGCUCAACCCUGGAAUAGCCUUCGAUACUGGAUAUCUUGAGUUCGGGAGAGGUGAGUGGAACUCCGAGUGUAGAGGUGAAAUUCGUAGAUAUUCGGAAGAACACCAGUGGCGAAGGCGACUCACUGGCCCGAUACUGACGCUGAGGCGCGAAAGCGUGGGGAGCAAACAGGAUUAGAUACCCUAGUAGUCC